rnacentral:rRNA from 1 species
AGGGUUUGAUCAUGGCUCAGAUUGAACGCUGGCGGUAAGCCUUAAACAUGCAAGUCGUGCGGUAACAGACAUAAAGAUUUAGCUUGCUAAAUCCGGUGCUGACGAGCGGCGAACGGGUGAGUAACACGUAGGAAUCUACCCAGUAGCGGGGGAUAGCCCAGGGAAACUUGGAUUAAUACCGCAUAAGCCCUAUGGGGGAAAGAAGGCCUCUCUUUGAAGCUUUCACUAUUGGAUGAGCCUGCGUAAGAUUAGCUUGUUGGUGGGGUAAAAGCCUACCAAGGCAACGAUCUUUAGCUGGUCUGAGAGGACGAUCAGCCACAUUGGGACUGAGACACGGCCCAGACUUCUACGGAAGGCAGCAGUUAGGAAUAUUGGACAAUGGGGGCAACCCUGAUCCAGCUAUACCGCGUGUGUGAAGAAGGCCCUAGGGUUGUAAAGCACUUUAAGCAGGGAAGAAGUAUAGUAAGUUAAUAUCUUACUAUAUUGACGUUACCUGAAGAAUAAGGACCGGCUAACUCCGUGCCAGCAGCCGCGGUAAUACGGAGGGUCCAAGCGUUAAUCG